UUACCGGCUUGACAUGACUGAAAGCUUCGCACAGGUGCUGCAUGGCUGUCGUCAGCUCGUGUCGUGAGAUGUUGCGUUAAGUCGCGCAACGAGCGCAACCCUGUCUUAGUUGCCAUCAUAUGGGACUCUAGGAGACAAACCCUCUUUGGGGUGGGAAGGUGGGGAUGACGUCAAGUCAGGAUGGCCCUUACGCCGGGCUGCACACGUGCUACAAUGCGGUACAAGGGGCACCGCGAGGGGAGCAAUCCUAAACCAGCCCAGUUCAGAUUGAAGUCUGCAACUCGACUUCAUGAAGCCGGAAUCGCUAGUAAUGGCGAUCAGCACGCGCCGUGAAUACGUUCCCGGGCCUUGUACACACCGCCCGUCACGUCAUGAAAGCCGGUUGCCGAA
rnacentral:rRNA from 1 species